rnacentral:RNase_P_RNA from 1 species
GCGGAUGGCUGGAUGACCGCGGGCGGCGUCGAAAGGCGGGGUCCGAGGAAAGUCCGGACUCCAGAAGGCAAGGGUGCCGGGUAACCCCCGGCGGGGGCAACCCCAGGGAAAGCGCCACAGAGAAGAGACUUCCCCUGUCCGCAGGGGUAAAGGUGAAACGGUGGGGUAAGAGCCCACCGCGGGACGGGCAACCGGACCGGCACGGCAAGCCCCACCCGGAGCAAUGCCAAAUAGGGGCCUCGUGGUGGGCUGGUCCGCAAGGAUACCGCCCGCCAGGGAUGCCAUCGCCCGAGAGGCCCGGGUUGGCAGCUUGACCGCCGUGGUGACACGGUUGGCAGAGGAAUGGUCAUCCAAGGGGGCAACCCCUGGACAGAAUCCGGCUUACAGGCCAUCCGCGCAG